rnacentral:rRNA from 1 species
AUCAACGCUGGCGGCGUGCCUCAGACAUGCAAGUCGAACGCGAAAGGCUCCUUCGGGGGCCGAGUAGAGUGGCGCACGGGUGAGUAACACGUAGGUAAUUUGCCUUUGGGUGGGGAAUAACUCAGGGAAACUUGAGCUAAUACCGCAUAAUGCAGCGGCUCGACAUCGAGACAGUUGUUAAAGCGGGGGAUCGCAAGACCUCGCGCCUGAAGAGAAGCCUGCGGCAGAUUAGCUAGUUGGUAGGGUAAUGGCCUACCAAGGCGACGAUCUGUAACCGGCCUGAGAGGGCGGUCGGUCACACUGACACUGACAUACGGGUCAGACUCCUACGGGAGGCAGCAGUCGGGAAUUUUGGGCAAUGGGCGC